AGCUUUAUAGUCAAAAUAAAAAAUGAUUUUAAAUUGCAAAUUUAAAGACGGUUAAACCCUAAGGCUU
rnacentral:tRNA from 1 species